GGAGUAGAUUGAAAAGGAAAGAGGGAAGAGGCAGGAGGCUAGUUGCUGUGGACCAGGCUGCGCUUGCUGGAACCACACACACUGAACUUCCUGGGACAUCCCCUGUCUGGGUGGACACCACGUCCUGCGGCAUGUUUUCUGCUAACGUGAUUUUCCUAACUCCUCGGCUAGUCUCCUGGCUUCUGAUUUUAUCAACAUGUAUCAGGAAUCAAAUUAAAUUUUGAUCAUUUUUGGAAAGGAGAAAGAAGAGUCUUCCACAGACAAUUAAAAUACAAAAAGAAAAACACGGAGCUAUCACGGGACAGGACAGAAUGAUAGAGAGGAUGGACCCGCCACACUGGAAAUGGAAGGAAGUGAAAUAAACCAAUGGACCAGCUACUGUGAAACCUGUCAUCCUUCCUGAAACAAAUCAUUCAAGAGACAGCCCCUUUGAAAUACAUGAGCAAACACUGCUCAGGCUUUUUAAAUCAAUGCAUACAAACAGAUUUUUAAACAAUAUAUGAAUGAAACGACAUGCCUAGUUUCAUAUUUUGAUUUUUUCCCACCCUAUAUUAUUUCACAUUUUCUAUACGAGG
rnacentral:lncRNA from 1 species